CCUACGGGUGGCAGCAGUGAGGAAUAUUGGUCAAUGGACGAGAGUCUGACCCAGCCAAGUAGCGUGCAGGAUAACUGCCCUAUGGGUUGUAAACUUCUUUUAUAUGGGAAUAAAAUGUUCCCCGUGUGGGAUUUUGUAUGUACCAUCUGCAUAAGGAUCGGCUAACUCCGUGCCAGCAGCCGAGGUAAUACGGAGGAUCCGAGCUUUAUCCGGAUUUGUUGGGUUUAAAGGGAGCGUAGGUGGAUUGUUAAGUCAGUUGUGAAAGUUUGCGGCUCAACCGUAAAAUUGCAGUUGAAACUGGCAGUCUUGAGUACAGUAGAGGUGGGCGGAAGUCGUGGUGUAGCGGUGAAAUGCUUAGAGAUCACGAAGAACUCCGAUUGCGAAGGCAGCUCACUGGACUGCAACUGACACUGAGGCUCGAAAGUGUGGGUAUCAAACAGGAUUAGAGACCCUUGUAGUC
rnacentral:rRNA from 1 species